rnacentral:lncRNA from 1 species
CACUGCAUUAUACAGAAACACACCUUCACAGGCACACUGUACACUACACUGUAAUGAAAAAAAAAUUAUUCUAAAUUUCACUACCAACCUGCACUCUACAGAAAGACACUUUCAAAUCCCCACUUAUGUAAUUUACUAUAUAGAAACACACUUGUUCCCGCAAACAACCAUCCUACACUCUAAGGAAAUACACACUCUCAUGCCCACUGACAUCACUGCACUCUACAAAAAAAAAUUCACAUACCAACUCCUAUUCUAUACUCCAUAGAAACACACAUUCCCAUACGACUGCCAUCCUGUACUCUACAUAUUCACAUGCCCUCUUCCAUCCUCCUCUCUACAGAAACACACAUUCAUAUGCCCACUGUAUACUGCACUCUACAGAAACACACAUUCAAUUGCCUACUGCAACCCUGCAUUCUACAGAAACUCACAUUAAGAUGCCCACUGCCAUCACUGCCCUCUACAGAAACAGACAUUAUCAUUCUCACUGCCAUAACGGCACUCUAUAGAAACACAAUGGACAUACCUA